AUUGAACGCUGGCGGCAGGCCUAACACAUGCAAGUCGAGCGAGCGGCGGACGGGUGAGUAAUGUAUGGGGCUCUGCCCGAUAGAGGGGGUUAACUACUGGACACGGAUGCCAAAACCGCAUACUAUCGGAUGUACCGAUAUGGGAUUAGCUAGUAGUUGGGGUAAAGGCUCACCUAGGCGACUAUCUCUAGCUGGUCUGAGAGGAUGAUCAGCCACACUGGAACUGAGACACGGCCCAGACUCCUACGGGAGGCAGCAGUGGGGAAUAUCGCACAAUGGGCGCAAGCCUGAUGCAGCCAUGCCGCGUGUAUGAAGAAGGCCUUAGGGUUGUAAAGUACUUUCAGCGGGGAGGCGUUACCCGCAGAAGAAGCACCGGCUAACUCCGUGCCAGCCGCCGCGGUAAUAC
rnacentral:rRNA from 1 species